AUUGAACGCUAGCGGGAUGCUUUACACAUGCAAGUCGAACGGCAGCGCGGACUUCGGUCUGGCGGCGAGUGGCGAACGGGUGAGUAAUGUAUCGGAACGUGCCCAGUAGCGGGGGAUAACUACGCGAAAGCGUAGCUAAUACCGCAUACGCCCUACGGGGGAAAGCAGGGGAUCGUAAGACCUUGCACUAUUGGAGCGGCCGAUAUCGGAUUAGCUAGUUGGUGAGGUAACGGCUCACCAAGGCGACGAUCCGUAGCUGGUUUGAGAGGACGACCAGCCACACUGGGACUGAGACACGGCCCAGACUCCGACGGGAGGCAGCAGUGGGGAAUUUUGGACAAUGGGGGCAACCCUGAUCCAGCCAUCCCGCGUGUGCGAUGAAGGCCUUCGGGUUGUAAAGCACUUUUGGCAGGAAAGAAACGUCGCGGGCUAAUACCCCGUGGAACUGACGGUACCUGCAGAAUAAGCACCGGCUAACUACGUG
rnacentral:rRNA from 1 species